AUUUAUGAGUAUGGCUGGUAGAGACGCUGUCUUUCAACAUUACCAGUCUGAACCAGAAUCUGAUCCAGAACGAGAGGUUCCUGAAGAAGGUGAGACUCUGUGGCUGCAGCAGGAUGUAACUGAAUGCUAACAGUUGAAUUUAAGAGGAUUGCAACCGUCAGUUUGCUGUCAAAGUUCUUCUCCGAGCUGGGUGCUCACUCUGCAAACCUUUCACGAAGGAAGAUUAAAAGCAUCGUGAUACCCAUCACCCAGACCGACACCAUUGAUGUCAGAAGAGAGUGGAUCAUCAAAGCCCUGUGUGUGCGUGCUGUGGCUGUGAAAGAAAACAGGCUCUCCCACUUGCGAUUGGUGUGAUACUGAAGGCCAACAAAGAACAACUAUCCUUGGUCUUGGAGGCAGGCAGAGCUCAACUGGAAACCAUGGCAACACAGUGCUUGCCUCUCUAAUCCCUUGGCCCUGCCAGAGAGUAGACAAAUACCUGCGCAUGCCCUGGCCUA